ensembl:lncRNA
CUAAUUUAUGAUUUUUCAACACAAAUUGAACUUAAUUUAGAGUCGUUUAGAGUUGAUUUGUUGAAAUUUUCAUUAUAACCAGUAGGGGUCUCCUAUGAGGCUAAAUAAAGUUACUGAUCACGUGGAGUGAAACUAGCUUUAUAAAACAGAGCAUUGAGUUUGUAUUCGUUUAAAGUGGUUCAUUCUACACAUCCUGUUCAGACCUCACACACACUGCUGUUCAUUCAUGUCAUUCCUCCAGCACUGAAGCAUCAACAUGAUAUUUAUAGUGUGCUUCAUUUAUUUAGCAGCACCUCCAUUCUGGGUCUCAGGUGAAUCACUAAGUGAUCAAGUUCGUCAGAAUCCACCUCAUCUGAUAACAAGAGCUGAGAAAACAGUUCAGCUCAGCUGUUCUCACAAAAUUAAAGACUAUUACAUGAUAUUAUGGUAUCAGCAGCUGAAGGGUGACAGUGCACUUAAUCUUAUUGGAAAUGUGUAUUACACAAAUCCAACCACCGAAAACCAAUAUAAAAAUCAGUUUACCAUCGGAGGAAAUGGAGCAGAAUCCUCUACUCUUAAUGUAACAUUAGAAAGAGAACAUGUUGGGAGUACUGCAGUAUAUUACUGUGCUGCCAGUAAAGCACAGUGUGGAAGAUCCUUUAAUCACUCUUACAAAAACCUUCUGUUAAACCCUGUCACCACAACAUUAUUAGCACCUGAAUGCACCCAUACACCCCCAAACAUGAUCACUCAGUGCACCCAUAUUAAGUUGUUGUAUGAUUAAUAUUAAAUUAAAAAUUAAAAAUUUAAUUUAUGCAUUUAGCAGAUGCUUUUAUCCAAAGCGACUUACAGUGCAUUCAGGCUAUCAAUUUUUACCUAUCAUGUAUUUCCAGGGAUCAAACCCCCAACCUUGCACUUGUUAACGCAAUGCUCUACCACUUGAGCUACAGAAACAGAUAUUAUACGCUAUUAUGUCACUAAGCAUUUAAUUCAUAUAUACAAUUAUAAAUUUUAUUGUUUUUAAAAUAAUUUCAUAUAUAAUUCAGCUAUCUCCAUUGCUGUUAAUUGCUUGCCUUAUCCGUUACUUAUUAUUUUUUGACACUUGUAUUUUUUAAAGUGUAAAGUGAAAUUGAUGAUGCAGUCACUGUAAUUCUUAUCAUGCAUCUACAACGUACAUGCGUUCAUUUAUUUAUUUUUAUUUAUUUUUUGAAUGAGGGACUAAUCUAUUCCAGCAUUAUAUGUCCAUUCCACUAGAUGUCCUCACAGAAAACUCUAGCUACUGAGUUUCUUGACUCAUAAAAACUAAAAUCUUCUUCUAUUACAGUAUGUAAACAAAAAUAACUUAUUUAAAUUGUUAUUUAUUUAUUUAUUAUUUUUUUAAGAAUCAUUGAGACUAAUUGUUUUUAAUUAAAAUCCCUUCCUCGUUUUCUCUCCUUGCUUUACAGAUUUGGGAUUAAAGCAAUCACCUCAUCUCUUUGUAACUGAGGAUCUUAAUGUGACCCAAAAGUGUUCCCAGAUUGGAACAUCACAUAACAGCAUGUACUGGUUCAGAAAAACACCCACUGAAUGAUUGGAGCAGAUAGUGCAUUUCUAUAUUAAAACCGAAAACUGGGAGAAGGAUUUUAAGCAGAGAGCAUCAGCUGUGAGCCGUAACCCAAUCUAUAACCUCAACAUAAGCAUGCAGAUUCACAUCUAACUCCUGCUCAUCUGUCAAUGAAUGAAAUUCUACAUUACUAUAGGGAUGAGUGGAUAAUGUAUUUCUAUAAAUUUUUGUAUUUUUAUGUUAGUUCAUGCACAUAAUUUAAACUAUUCCCACAUGUAAAGAAAAAAAUCUAAACAUGUUUUAGCUCAUUAACCUACAAGUAGUCUAAUUUAUGAUUUAUGAACUUAAUUUAGAGUCCUUUAGAGUGGAUUUGUUGAAUUUGUUUUAAUUAUAACCAGUAGGGGUCUCCUUUGAGCUUAAAUAAAGUUACUGAUCACGUGGAGGGAAACAGGCUUUAUAAAACAGAGCAUUGAGUUUGUAUUCGUUUAAAGUUUCUCAUUCUACACAUCCUGUUCAGACCUCACACACACUGCUGUUCAUUCAUGUCAUUCCUCCAGCACUGAAGCAUCAACAUGAUAUUUAUAGUGUGCUUCAUUUAUUUAGCAGCACCUCCAUUCUGUGUCUCAGGUAAAAAAUAUUUCAUUGUUUAUUGUCUUUAUUUGUUUCUCUAGUUUAUGCAUUUCUACUAACAUCUACUACUUAAUUUUGUCUGUUUUCAACAGGAGAAUCACCAAGUGACCAAGUUCAUCAGAAUCCACCUCAUCUCAUAACAAAAGCUGAGAAAACAGUUCAGCUCAGCUGUUCUCACAAAAUUAAAGACUAUAACACAAUAUUAUGGUAUCAGCAGCUGAAGGGUGAUAGUGCUCUAAAUCUUAUUGGAUAUGUGUAUUACACAAAUCCAACCACUGAAAACCAAUAUAAAACUCAGUUCAGCAUCGGAGGAAAUGGAGCAGAAUCCUCUACUCUUAAUGUAACAUUAGAAAGAGAACAUGUUGGGAGUACUGCAGUAUAUUACUGUGCUGCCAGUAAAGCACAGUGUGGAAGAUCCUUUAAUCACUCUUACAAAAACCUUCGGUUAAACCCUGUCACCACAACAUUAUUA